rnacentral:rRNA from 1 species
GAUGAACGCUGGCGGCGUGCCUAACACAUGCAAGUCGAACGGAAAGACAGUCAGUGCUUUCUGUUACGGGUGGCGGCGGGCGGACGAGUGAGGAGUACAUCGUAAUCUACUUUUUCUUGGGUGAUAUCGUAGGGCAGGAAACUCUAACACAUUAUACAUCCUACCGCAGGGUGCAGUGGGUCUUGGCACCUUUCGUGCUAGUUAUAGAGGAUGUCGGAUCGGCUAGUCGGCGGGGUAAUGGCCCACCAAGGCAACGAGCCGUAGCCGGGCCGAGAGGAUGAUCGGCCACACUGGAACUGAGACACGGUCCAGACUCCUACGGGAGGCAGCAGUAGGGAAUGUUGGACAAUGGGCGCAAGCCUGAUCCAGCCACACCGCGUGAGUGAAGAAGGCCUUCGGGUUGUAAAGCUCUUUUGUUGGGGAAGAAAAGCAGCAGAUUUAGAUCCAGCGGUUGUGACGGUACCCAAAGAAGAAGCACCGGCUAACUACGUG